rnacentral:rRNA from 1 species
GACGAACGCUGGCGGCGUGCUUAACACAUGCAAGUCGAACGGAAAGGCCCUGCGGUUUUGGGGUGCUCGAGUGGCGAACGGGUGAGGAACACGUGAGUAACCUGGCCUUGACUUUGGGAUAACUUGAGGAAACUGGGGCGAAUACCGGAUAGGAGCUCCUGCUGCAUGGUGGGGGUGGGAAAGUUUCGGCGGUUGGGGAUGGACGCGCGGUUUAUCAGAUUGUUGGUGGGGUAGUGGCUUACCAAGGCUUUGGCGGGUAGCCGGGCUGAGAGGGUGAACGGCCCCACUGGACUUGAGCUGAGGCCCGGACUACUCCGGGAGGCAGCAGUGGAGAAUAGUGCACAUUGGGCGGAAGCCUGAUGCGGCAACGCCGCGUGCGGGAUGACGGCAUUCGGGUUGUAAACCGCUUUCGCCUGUGACGAAGCGUUAGUGACGGUAAUGGAUAAAGAAGCACCGGCUAACUACGUG